CUUUGUGUUCCUAAAGAUAGAGGAUGAUUGGGGUUCAAGGAUCUACUCAGCUUUAACCUGGCUUUGCUUGCUAAACAGGUAUGGAGGUUGCUUGAGAACCCUGACUCUCUCUGCGCAUAGAUCUUGAGGGCCAAAUAUUACCCGGAUGGAAGGUUAUUAGAUGCUAAAUUGAAGAGUGGGAGUUCAUAUACUUGGCAGCGCAUUUGUGCAGGAAUCAAUACGUUUAGGAGAGGUGCAAUAUGGCGCAGAGGGGAUGGCUCACAAAUUAACAUUUGGUCUGAUCCGUGGAUAGAAUCUAGUGCUAACGGAGGUGUGAUCACACCAUGA
rnacentral:rRNA from 1 species